UACGUAGGCAGCGAGCGUUGUUCGGAAUUACUGGGCGUAAAGGGUGCGUAGGUGGCUUGGUAAGUUUGAUGUGAAAUCUCCGGGCUUAACCCGGAAAUGGCAUUGAAUACUAUUGAGCUGGAGGUUUGGAGGGGGACUGGAAUUCUCGGUGUAGCAGUGAAAUGCGUAGAUAUCGAGAGGAACACCAGUGGCGAAGGCGAGUCCCUGGACAACACCUGACACUGAGGCACGAAAGCUAGGGGAGCAAACAGG
rnacentral:rRNA from 1 species